UACGGAGGGGGCAAGCGUUGUCCGGACUUACUGGGCGUAAAGGGUGCGUAGGCGGCCUGCUGCGUCGGUGCUGAAAGCGCCCGGCUUAACCGGGCGAGGCGUGCCGAUACGAGCGGGCUGGAGCCUUGGCGAGGGUGGCGGAACUCCUGGUGUAGUGGUGAAAUGCGUAGAUAUCGGGAGGAACACCUGCGGCGAAGGCGGCUUCCUGGACUGCAACUGACGCUGAGGCGCGAAAGCUAGGGGAGCAAACAGG
rnacentral:rRNA from 1 species